UUUCUUUGUAAGCAGCCAUGGCUGAAGAGUUAAUCCUCUAAUUUGUCUGAGAAAAGGCGAAUCUGAGUCCUUUCCUGUGACAUGCAAAU
rnacentral:sRNA from 1 species